rnacentral:tRNA from 1 species
GCCUGAGUAGCUCAGCUGGCAAGAGCGGUUGGUUCAUACCCAGCGUCAGUCGGGGGUUCAAAUCCCUCCUCAGGUA